UACGUAGGGUGCAAGCGUUAUCCGGAAUUAUUGGGCGUAAAGAGCUCGUAGGCGGUUUGUCGCGUCUGCUGUGAAAACUGGAGGCUCAACCUCCAGCCUGCAGUGGGUACGGGCAGACUAGAGUGCGGUAGGGGAGAUUGGAAUUCCUGGUGUAGCGGUGGAAUGCGCAGAUAUCGGGAGGAACACCGGUGGCGAAGGCGGUUCUCUGGGCCUGACCUGACGCUGAGGAGCGAAAGCGUGGGGAGCGAACAGG
rnacentral:rRNA from 1 species